rnacentral:rRNA from 1 species
AACCUGGUUGAUCCUGCCAGUGGCCACCGCUAUUGGACUUCGCUUAAACCAUGCGAGUCGAGAGGGUUCGGCCCUCGGCAGACCGCUCAGUAACACGCGGAUAACCUGCCCUUGGGUGGAGGAUAAGCUCGGGAAACUGAGUAUAAUACUCCAUAGACCAUCUAUGCUGGAAUGCUUGAUGGUCAAAAGCUCCGGCGCCCAAGGAUGGGUCUGCGGCCUAUCAGGUCGUAGUUGGUGUAACGGACCAACUAGCCUUCGACGGGUACGGGCCUUGAGAGAGGUAGCCCGGAGAUGGACUCUGAGACAUGAGUCCAGGCCCUACGGGGCGCAGCAGGUGCGAAAACUUCGCAAUGUGGGAAACCACGACGAGGGGAGUCCAAGUGCUUGCACAAUGUGUAGGCUGUUUCCGUGCCUAAAAAGCACGGAGAGUAAGGGCUGGGUAAGACGGGUGCCAGCCGCCGCGGUAAUACCCGCAGCCCGAGUGGUGGUCGCUAUUAUUGGGCCUAAAACGUCCGUAGCCUGCCCGGUAAAUUCUUGGGGAAAUCGGUCAGCUCAACUGACCGAAGUCCGAGGAGACUGCCGGGCUUGGGACUGGGUGAGGCCAGAGGUACUUCAGGGGUAGGGGUAAAAUCCUGUAAUCCUUGAAGGACCACCAGUGGCGAAGGCGUCUGACUAGAACGGAUCCGACGGUAAGGGACGAAGCCCUGGGGCACAAACGGGAUUAGAUACCCCGGUAGUCCAGGGUGUAAACGCUGUGGGCUUGGUGUUGGGAGUCCUACGAGGGCGCCCAGUGCCGGAGAGAAGUUGUUAAGCCUACUGCCUGGGGAGUACGCUCGCAAGAGUGAAACUUAAAGGAAUUGGCGGGGGAGCACCGCAACGGGUGGAGCGUGCGGUUUAAUUGGAUUCAACGCCGGAAAACUCACCGGGAGCGACGGUU